rnacentral:rRNA from 1 species
UACGUAGGGUGCAAGCGUUGUCCGGAAUUAUUGGGCGUAAAGAGCUCGUAGGCGGUCUGUCGCGUCGGCUGUGAAAACCCGGGGCUCAACCCCGGGCCUGCAGUCGAUACGGGCAGACUAGAGUGCGGUAGGGGAGACUGGAAUUCCUGGUGUAGCGGUGAAAUGCGCAGAUAUCAGGAGGAACACCGGUGGCGAAGGCGGGUCUCUGGGCCGUAACUGACGCUGAGGAGCGAAAGCGUGGGGAGCGAGCAGG